GGCCCCUUAGCUCAGUUGGUUAGAGCAGGCGACUCAUAAUCGCUUGGUCGCUGGUUCAAGUCCAGCAGGGGCCACCA
rnacentral:tRNA from 8 species